rnacentral:rRNA from 1 species
AUUGAACGCUGGCGGCAGGCCUAACACAUGCAAGUCGAGCGGUAACAGAGAGAAGCUUGCUUCUCUGCUGACGAGCGGCGGACGGGUGAGUAAUACUUGGGAAUUUGCCUUUAGGCGGGGGACAACCACGGGAAACUGUGGCUAAUACCGCAUAAUGUCUACGGACCAAAGUGGGGGACCUUCGGGCCUCACACCUAAAGAUGAGCCCAAGCGGGAUUAGCUAGUUGGUGGGGUAAAGGCUCACCAAGGCGACGAUCCCUAGCUGUUCUGAGAGGAUGAUCAGCCACACUGGGACUGAGACACGGCCCAGACUCCUACGGGAGGCAGCAGUGGGGAAUAUUGCACAAUGGGGGAAACCCUGAUGCAGCCAUGCCGCGUGUGUGAAGAAGGCCUUCGGGUUGUAAAGCACUUUCAGCGACGAGGAAGGGUGUUGUAUUAAUAGUGCAGCACAUGAC